rnacentral:rRNA from 1 species
UGGGGAAUAUUGGACAAUGGGCGAAAGCCUGAUCCAGCCAUGCCGCGUGUGUGAAGAAGGUCUUCGGAUUGUAAAGCACUUUAAGUUGGGAGGAAGGGCAGUUACCUAAUACGUGAUUGUUUUGACGUUACCGACAGAAUAAGCACCGGCUAACUCUGUGCCAGCAGCCGCGGUAAUACAGAGGGUGCAAGCGUUAAUCGGAAUUACUGGGCGUAAAGCGCGCGUAGGUGGUUUGUUAAGUUGGAUGUGAAAUCCCCGGGCUCAACCUGGGAACUGCAUUCAAAACUGACUGACUAGAGUAUGGUAGAGGGUGGUGGAAUUUCCUGUGUAGCGGUGAAAUGCGUAGAUAUAGGAAGGAACACCAGUGGCGAAGGCGACCACCUGGACUGAUACUGACACUGAGGUGCGAAAGCGUGGGGAGCAAACAGGAUUAGAUACCCAUGUAGUCCCUGAGCGGGCUGGCAAGGCGC